rnacentral:lncRNA from 10 species
UCUUUUUAAAAAAAAUUAUUAUUAUUUAUUUAUUUAUUUUUGAGAUGGAGUCUUGCUCUGUGACCCAGGCUGGAAUGCAAUGGCGCGAUCUCAGCUCACUGCAACCUCCGGCUCCUGGGUUCAAGCAAUCCUCCUGCCUCAGCCUCCCGAGUAGCUGGGACUACAGGCAUGCUGCCACCAUGCCUGGCUAAUUUUUGUAUUUUUAGUAGAGACGGGGUUUCACCAUCUUGGCCACACUGGUCUCGAACUCCUGAUCUCAUGUGAUCCGUCGGCCUCAGCCUCCCAAAGUGCUGGGAUUACAGGCAUGAGCCACCGUGCCUAGCCUGAAUGACCUUUUUAAUAUUGCUGCAUUAACAUUUGGCAGAGGAACUGGGUCAUUAUCUCCAUCAUCCAUUCCCAAAUUUUCCAACAUGAUUUUGAGAGUCACAGAUUGUUUGGCAAUUUCCACAUCAACUUCAAAUAGCUCUCCAUCAGAACUCAGCAACUUAAUUGAAGGUAUUAUGGGUGUUGGGUCUUAAGGAGACAGCCAGCUAGAGGCUAAGGAGAGCUUGACGGCCCCAGUGGAGAAAGAGGAAAGGCAGAGGACGGGGCCUCUGCAGCGAUGCAGCAUCUGCUCAAACAGGAUCAUUUUAAAUAGCAAUGUGUUAUACUAUGUAUGGAAAUAUAUCAGUGUGAUAUAGUAAACAGUGCCUGGGUGGGGGGUAGAUAAAUUAUAUUGGGUGAUCUGAGGAAGGACAUUUAAAGUCAUUCCUUUCUCCACUUUUUUCUUUUUUGAAAAAAAAUUUAGGACUGGACGCUGUAGGAGGGGUGACCUGGGAGGAAUGACCUUCCCAGCACUUUGGAAUGCCUCCUAGCACUUUGGGAGGCCAAGAUGGGCAGAUUGCUUGAGCUCAGGCAUUUGAGACCAGCCUGGGCAAAACAGUGAGACACCAUCUCUACCAAAAAUACAAGAAAUUAGCCGGGCGUGGUGGCGCAUGCCUGUAAUUCCAGCUACUCGGGAGGUUGAGGUGGGAGAAUCACUGGAACCAGGAAGGCAGAGGUUGCAGUGAGCGAAGACUGUGCCAUUGCACUCCAGCACUCCAGCUGUGUCUUUUGAGACACAGCAAGACUCUGUCUCAAAAGACAAACAAACAAAAAAACUAUUUUUAAUUAUUAUGCAUACAUGAAGUUGUACAUAGUUAUGGGAACUUCCUGCAUUUUUACCCUCCUAAUCCCAGAGGUACCUGUUUUCAGCUGGAAGACUCUUUGCCUCAGAGAGCUAUUGACAGCUUCCCUGAGCUGGAGAGAAGGAAACAAAAUAACCACAUCCUUUGGUCAAAGAGAUAUUUGAGUAAAGUUAAAAGUCCUGGCUUCUAGAAGGAAGUUUUUUUGCAGUACCUAGAUCAACACAUCCUGUAGCCAAUCUGAAAGGCUGUCCAAACAGGACCCAGAACAUAAGUCAGCAAUGGGUUAAGGGCUGUCAGUGGAGAAGGCGGUUUUAUUCCCCUGGUUUAGCCGUCAGGGGCUCGGCCCCCCACACGCAAGAGUUAAUAACCAAACAAUGACUGUCACUAAUUCACGGAAGGUUUGAAGCUGUUUUAGCCCCGAUGUGCUCUGUGCUCAGUCAUCCAGAAGUCACCUAGGGUGGAGGCGUUUCAUGGUCUGACACUUUGACACAAAGCCAUGUGACAAGCAAUCUCUCAAUGAUUCCUCCAAGGCCAGCAACUGUCCCACCCUGGCUGCCAAGUACAAUCUAUGACCCCCAUGCAUGCCCUCCAGCUGCCGACUCUCUCAGCAAAGUUACUUCUUUGUCCAUCAGCAUAUCUGGCAUUUUCCCCUAAAGGCUGGUUAUAAUACUUCCACCUGCUUCCAGCAAAAAUACUCAAGCAGAUUCCAAUUUUGCUUCACAUGCCGCAGGAAUGUGAAUAAUCCCAUUUAGGAAGAUGCUUGAUUAAGUUUUGAGAACCCGAAUCAACUUGGUCAUUCUUCAACCCCUAGAGCAGGGCUGUCAAGAGAAGAAACACUUCUACAUCAACUAUUGCCCAGAGAGGAGUCUUGUUAGGCUGGUUCCAAACAAAAGGAGUUCCUGUAAGAGGCAGUAAUGCGAUUUCCACAUACGAAGUCCCUUAGACCGGUGCAGACUCUUUGGCCCCAGUGAACGUGUGCUCCAGGAGACAGCUGGCCUCUGACAAAAACCAAUGUCCCCAACGCAGAGAGAAGAGAGAGCCUGUAUCAUCAGGACUAUUAUGUCAUUCAUCCUCCCAGCUGCCCAGCCUUAUAGGUGGAAAGACUCAAAAACCAAAUUUACUGAGCCAUUACCUAUAUGAAAAGUGUGUUAUCGACUGAGUGCAGUAGCUCACGCCUGUAAUCCCAACACUUUGGGAGGCCAAGGCAGGAGGAUCAUUUGAGGCCAGGACUUCAAGACCAGUCUGGGCAACAUAAGGAGACCCUGUUUCAAUUUUUUAAAAUUCUAAAGAAAAAGAAAAAUAUGUGAUCACAUCAUUUAACAGGUUGGUAGCAAAGUCUCUCUCUGAUCUCCCCCUGUGCCAACUGCUGUGGUAGCUCCCUCCUGCAGGAAGCUAUAAAAGAAGAAGGCUGGGCCAGGCACGGUGGCUCAAGCCUGUAAUCGUAGCACUUUGAGAGGCCGAGGUGGGUGGAUCGCCUGAGGCCAGGAGUUUGAGACCAGUCUGGCCAACAUGGUGAAAUCUUGUCUCUACUAAAAAUACAAAAUUAGCCGGGAGUGGUGGUGCACACCUAGAAUCCCAGCUACUCGGGAGGUUGAGGCAGGAGAAUCGCCUGAACCUGGGAGGCAGAGGUUGCGGUGAGCUGAAAUCGCGCCAUUGCACUCCAGCCUGGGAGACACAGAGAGACUCCAUCUCAAAAAAAAAAAAAAAAAGAAGGAAAGAAAGGAGAAGCCUGGCAGCUCUGAGAACAGGUACCUCAAUCCUUGUAGUUCUCUGUGCCUGUCUCCCAAACCUGAGCUAAGACAAGCACAUGGCUUCAAGGUGGCAGAGUCCUCAUCACAGCCGGGAAGAGAAGAAAAGCCCUUGCUUUAAGACCUGUGCUGGGUACCUUGAAAACUGGUUUCCAGCUCUGCCGUAUUUAUACUAAAAAUCACUGGUGAUUCUGCAAGACAAAAAAAAAUUUAGUGACAUGUAGUUCUCCCAAUAUCUUUAUUGAGUUACAAAAUUACUAAUAACAUUCAUAGUCUUUCCCUCCAAGCUACCUUUCUUCUUGUGUCCAUAUAUCUGCCCAAAGUCAGAAGCUAAUUAUUCUUAGAAUAUUGUUUCGACUUUGCAAAAAUAAAAAUUAUUGUUUCAACUCUAAUACCCACUCAACCUCCACCCAAUCCAAUCAAUCAACAGCCCAAGUUGAUCCUAUCUCUGAAUUAACUCCUUUUUUGUUUGUUUGUUUGUUUAAUAGAGAUGAGGUCUCGCUAUGUUGCCCAGGCUGUUCACAAACUCCUAAGCCCAAGCAAUCCUCCUGCCUCAGCCUCCCUAAGUGCUGGGAUUAUAGCACUUAGUGAGCCACUGUACCCAACCUGAAUUAACUCUUUAACUCUUUUUUUGGGGGGGGUGGGACAGAGUCUCACUCCGUUGCCCAAGCUGAAGUGCAGUGACAUAUUCUCCACUCACUGCAACCUCAGCCUCCAGGGUUCAAGCGAUUCUCCUUCCUCAGCCUCCUGAGUAGUUGGGACCACAGGCCUGUGCCACCAACGCCUGGCUAUUUUUUGUAUCUUUAAUAGAGACAGGGUUUCACCGUGUUGGCCAGGCUGGUCUCGAACUCCUGACCUCAAGUGAUCUGCCCUCCUUGGCCUCCCAACGUGCUGCUGGAACUACACGCGUGAGCCACUGCACCCAGCCCUGAAUUAACUAUUGAAUCCGCAGCCCCUCCCCAGGCCUGGUACCACUGUUGUAGCUCAGGACCUGGCUGUGUCUCACUGGAAUAGUGAGUGUAAUAGCCCAGUGGGUUCACCUUGACCACUGCCUAGACAGAGCCAAUUUAUCAGGACAGGAAGAAUUGCAAUAGAGAAAACAGUAAAGAGUAAUUCAAGCAGAGUUAGCUGUGCAGGAGACCAGAGUCUUAUUAUUACUCAAAUCAGUCUCCCUGAGCAUAUGGGAAUCAGAGUUGUUGGUUUUUUUGAGAUAGAGUCUUGCUCUGUCACCCAGGCUAGAGUGCAGUGGCGCGAUCUCUCCGCCUCCCAGGUUCAUGCCAUUCUCCUGCCUCAGCCUCCCGAGUAGCUAGGACUACAGGCGCCCGCCACUGCACCUGGCUAAUUUUUUGUAUUUUUAGUAGAGAUGGGGUUUCACCGUGGUCUCGAUCUCCUGACCUCGUAAUCCACCUGCCUCAGGAAUCAGAGUUUUGAAGGAUAAUUUGGUGAGUAGGGGGACAGCCAGUGAGUCAGGAGUGUUGAUUGGUUGGGUCAGACAUGAACUCACCUGGGUGAAUUCCACAAGAACACAGAUGGAUGGGGGCCACAAGAUCAGAUGAGCCAAUUUAUGGAUCUGGGUGGUGCCAGCUGAUCCAUCAAGUCCAGGCUCUGCAAAAUAUCUCAAGCGCUGACCUCAGGCUUUAUAAAGUGAUGCUAUCUCCAGGAGCAAUUUGGGGAGGGUCAGAAUCUUGUAGCCUCCAGCUGCAUGACUCCUAAACCAUAAUUUCUAAUCUUUUGACUAAUUCAUUAGUCUACAAAGACACUCUAGUCCCCAGGCAAGAAAGGGGUUUGUUUUGGGAAAGGACUGUUAUCAUCUUUGUUCUAAACUAUAAACUGUAAGCUAAGUGCCUCCCAAAAUUGUACCUAGGAAUGAACAAGGACAGCUUGGAGGUUUAGAAGCAAGAUGGAAAUGGUUAGGUCAGAUCUCUUUCACUAUCCCAGACAUAAUUUUGCAACAGCGAUUUCAUGAGCAGUCCCAUAAUUGUGCUCCCUAGUACCAGUCUGGCUGCCUCCACCCUGCUAGUGUGAUGUUCUGGUCUUUUUUUUUUUUUUUUUGUCUGUUUUGAGACAGGUUCUCGCUCUGUUGCCCAGGCUGGAGUGCAGUGGUUGGAUCUCGGCUCACUACAACCUCCGCCUCCCAAGUUCAAGCGAUUCUCCUCAGCCUCCCAAUAGCUGGGAUUACAGGUGCGCACCACCACGCCCAGCUAAUUUUUGUAUUUUUAGUAGAGAUGGGCUUUCACCAUGUUGGUCAGGCUGGUCUCAAACUCCUGAUCUCAGGUGAUCCACCUGCCUCGGCCUCCCAAAGUGCCAGAAUUAUAGGCAUAAGCCACUGUCCCCAGCCUGUUUUUUUGGGCUUUGACACAGGGUCUCACUCUGUCACUUAGGCUAGAGUGCAGUGGCACGAUCACAGCUCACUGCAGCCUUGACCUCUUGGGCUCAAGCAAUCAUCCCACCCCUCAGCCUCCUAAGUAGCUGAGACUACAGGCAUGCACCACCACACCCAGCUAAUUUUUGUAUAUUUUGUAGAGGCAAGGUUUUGCCAUGUUGCCCAGGCUGGUCUUCAGCUCCUGGCUUAAGUGGUCCACCCACCCUGGCCUCUCAAAAUUCUAGGAUUACAGGUGUGAGCCACCACUGCACCCAGCCACGUGAUGUUCUAAACACAAAUCAGAACCCUGGCUCCGCAUCCACCAUAUACGAAGUCCAUGGUCUUUAGAAUGGCCCAUUGAGGCCAUUUCUUGCCUCCCCCAGGCCAACUUGGGGCCCCUCUCUCAGACCUUCACGUAUGUCCCCUGCACUGGGGAUUGCACAGCAUUUUAAUUCUUUGCUUGCAAAAUUAUCUCC